AAAUUAAUUAUAAACUAAUAAAAUGAAGAGUUGUGAUUGAAUGAUUGUAUAAAACUUAUUUACACCGUCGGUACAUAGAAAUUAAUUUCAAUCAUAAUCACAAUUGGGUUAUGGAUUAAUUUCUAUUCACUGACGGUGUAAAUAAGUUUUACACAAUUAUUCAAUCACAACCCUUCAUUUUGUUAGCUUAUAAUUAAUUU
rnacentral:pre_miRNA from 1 species